rnacentral:rRNA from 1 species
AUUGAACGCUGGCGGCAUGCCUUACACAUGCAAGUCGAACGGCAGCGGGCCUUCGGGUGCCGGCGAGUGGCGAACGGGUGAGUAAUGCAUCGGAACGUGCCAUUGAGUGGGGGAUAACGUAGCGAAAGUUGCGCUAAUACCGCAUAUUCUGUGAGCAGGAAAGCAGGGGACCGCAAGGCCUUGCGCUCUUUGAGCGGCCGAUGUCAGAUUAGCUAGUUGGUGAGGUAAAGGCUUACCAAGGCGACGAUCUGUAGCGGGUCUGAGAGGAUGAUCCGCCACACUGGAACUGAGACACGGUCCAGACUCCUACGGGAGGCAGCAGUGGGGAAUUUUGGACAAUGGGGGCAACCUGAUCCAGCCAUGCCGCGUGAGUGAAGAAGGCC